AUGUGCCUAGGUUGAGUACCUAGAAAUGAAAUGAUCAGAAAAAUCCUAAUUCACUCUCCUGAUCUAUCCUAAUUGGAAACCCCAUUGAUGGAAUCCCUGAAGUCCUGAAAUCCAUGGGCAUAUCAUAAUGACAAAAAAAAAAAAACAAAGUAGACCCC